GUAGGGCACUGGCGUACAAUUUUUGGUAAUCCAUCCCAGCUUGUGUUUCAGUUGCCUUCCUGUUGCUGUUGGUAGUGGUGUAUGUGGCCCCUACACCCCCUUUUAUUUUUAUGGAUGGGUGAGGGAAGUGGCAGUUAGCUUGUGGUCAUACAGUAUGGAGGCAUAAUUAGUUAAUUUGUUAGGGGCCUGAGCCUUACUGCAUCUUGUUACUUUUUCUUUGUUCCCUAUGCAGGGGACAUAAAUGACCAGCUGCCUCCUUCAACAGACUUUUCUAAGGUUGAGGUAUUCUUUAAAACAAAAAAAAGUACUAAAGCCUUGCAACUAGAAAUAGCUGCAGACUUGGGCCCUUGCAGGAGGCACUAACACAAAUGAUCUAAUUUACCCCUGUGUAACCUCAGCAGUUGCUUUUGGUUACCUGCCUGUGCGGACACCAGCUGAGCAUAAUCAGGUGAUUCUUCUGGCUGUGUUGGAGGUGGUUCCGCCCUCUCUCUAACUCAGCAGCCCAGAAAGCUGUUCCAUGAACCUCAGGCAAGUACUGCUGUUCUCAGAAAUGCUGUGAGGCCUGUCUUUCUGGGAUAUGAACCUGGUGUCCUGCAAUAUGAUGGCCUUUUCAGGAGCCUGAUGACAGCCUGGCAUAAGCAGCAGCAGCAGAUAAGAUCUCACUGCGAUCUCUGAAUAUUAAGGCAACUGCUUGAUGGAUAGAAAGGAAAGAAGUGAACUGGCAAGUGAACCCCCUUCCCCCAAAAAGAUCAUAACUGGGCCCUGCAAUGGCUGGUCCUGCGUACAAUGAAUUUUCUGCGGGCAAGACAAACUCGUUACUAUAGCUCCAUAAGAACAUGCUCUGCUUAAGGUAUCCGUUUGUACUGACAUUCCCCUGAAGAUAGAAUUUGCAAGCCACAUAUCCAGAAUUCUGAUUGAGGACUGUCCUGUUUUCCAGAUAUUAUCUCUCCAAGACUGUUCAUUUUAUACCAGUUCUGCAGCAGAAAACCAGGGCCCCAAAUGGGCAUUGGUGAAAACCAGAACUCGUGGAUUUUCAACUCUUUCAUACAUGGCACCUUCCUUUGUUGAUUGCUAUGGGUUUCUACUAUAUACAGAAAUAAAAUGGAAGCCAGCCUCCUUACAGACAAGAUAACAGAUUCAAUCUGUGAUCUCAGCCUUCAGCCUGAACAAUGAUUGUUUAAACCUGAAUGCCAUACUUUUCUGCUAAUAUGCUAUAAAAAGCAAAAAACCCCAGGAAAAAUGCUCUGCAAAAUAAUUACAAGAACACAUGGGCAGUGGUUUUUUGUUUUUGUUUUUUUCAACUCUAUUGGAACACAAGUUCUCAGAGCCCAUUUUAUGUCUUUUUCUAUACUGCCUGUACCCACUGCAUUGCACUGAACUGCCAAAUGCAAGUGAGAAGCAACAUGCAGUUAAUAGUGAGUAUCUCACUCUUCUAUAUAUCCAAGUGUUGUAGGACUGGUAACUUAUAAAUUGGGAUUGCCUGGACUGGUUGCUUUUCUGGUUAGAAACCAAUUGAUUCACCAAGGUGCAUGCAAGCUGAUUCCUAUAGCAUGGGUUAUACAUGGCUAUCAUAACUCUUUCUAUACUGAGUAGCAGGGAAAGGUGCAACCUAAGCUACAAAUGCAUUUUUGUGUUUCUUAAGUAGGACUGUGCUACAGAAUGCAAUUAGUAGAAUUAACUGUUUUUAUUUUCUAUGAAGCAAACCAUAUUUCUUGUAAUCUGUAGGGCAGACUGUUCCAUUAAAAACAAUGGCAUAUGUUCUGUGACCACAAUAUUAGUAAAGGUAUGGGAUCCCUUAUCUGUAAACCUGGUAAUCAGAAGGCUCUGAAUUAUGGACAGUUCAGGUCUGGUGGGCACAAAAAGUCCCUUUAUCUGGGAACCCGCAGAUCCAAGGCAUUCCAGAUAAUAGAUCCUAUACUUGUAGUUUACAUUAGGCCAAUGGCCUAUGCUUGACUUACUACAAGCAAUGAAUUAGGGAUAAAUUCCACAAGCACUUUUUGCUGAUGGGGUCAGAUCGACAAAAUGCACGUGAUAGAUUAGUUCUUGCCUUGCAUACUUAUAAAGCCUUUGAUUUUCUCAAAUGGGGGUGUUUCUUUGUAACUGUGUCAGCCAUAGGUUUCAACCAGACUUUUAUGAAUAUGUCAGGCUCCUUUUCAGCAAACCAGUUACCUGAACCCACACUGAUAGAAAUACAGUACAUUUUUACUUAAUGUGGGGGCUUGAAUCAUCCCUCCAGAUCCCAUGAUGCAUUAUAACAAUAAAGCCCCUGGAAGUCCUGGUUCUUAAUGUUA